ACGCUCGACACCUACGGGAGGCAGCAGUAGGGAAUUUUCGGCAAUGGGGGGAACCCCUGACCGAGCAACGCCGCGUGAAGGAAGAAGGAAUUCGUUCUGUAAACUUCUGUUAUAAAGGAAGAACGGCGGAUAUAGGGAAUGAUAUCCGAGUGACGGUACUUUAUGAGAAAGCCACGGCUAACUACGUGUCAGCAGCCGCGGUAAUCUGAGCGGGCUGGCAAGGC
rnacentral:rRNA from 1 species